GCGUCGGUAGCGCAACGGUUCAGCACGCGCUCGCGGAAAGAGUGAGAUCUGGAUUCAAAUCCCGACUGACGCA